rnacentral:rRNA from 1 species
GACGAACGCUGGCGGCGUGCCUAAUACAUGCAAGUCGAACGCUGACGGAGGAGCUUGCUUCUCUGGCUGAGUUGCGAACGGGUGAGUAACGCGUAGGUAACCUGCCUUGUAGCGGGGGAUAACUAUUGGAAACGAUAGCUAAUACCGCAUAAGAGUAGAUGUUGCAUGACAUUUGCUUAAAAGGUGCAAUUGCCUCACUACCAGAUGGACCUGCGUUGUAUUAGCUAGUUGGUGAGGUAACGGCUCACCAAGGCGACGAUACAUAGCCGAGCUGAGAGGGUGAUCGACCACACUGGGACUGAGACACGGCCCAGACUCCUACGGGAGGCAGCAGUAGGGAAUCUUCGGCAAUGGACGGAAGUCUGACCGAGCAACGCCGCGGGAGGGAAGAAGGGUUUCGGAUCGGAAAGCUCUGUUGGAAGAGAAGAACGAGUGUGAGAGUGGAAAGUUCACACUGUGACGGUAGCUUAACAGAAAGGGACGGCUAACUACGUG